GAUGAAGAACGCAGCGAAAUGCGAUAAGUAAUGUGAAUUGCAGAACUCAGUGAAUCAUCGAAUCUUUGAACGCACAUUGCGCCCCCUGGUAUUCCGGGGGGCAUGCCUGUCCGAGCGUCAUUGCUGCCCUCAAGCACGGCUUGUGUGUUGGGCCCCGCCUCCCGGCUCCCGGGGGGCGGGCCCGAAAGGCAGCGGCGGCACCGCGUCCGGUCCUCGAGCGUAUGGGGCUUCGUCACCCGCUCCGUAGGCCCGGCCGGCGCCCGCCGGCGACCCCCCUCAAUCUUUUCAGGUUGACCUCGGAUCAGGUAGGGAUACCCGCUGAACUUAAGCAUAUCAAUAAGCGGAGGA
rnacentral:misc_RNA from 1 species